GUUGUAUGGUUAAGUGACUAAGCGUACACGGUGGAUGCCUAGGCAGUUGGAGGCGAUGAAGGACGUACUAACUUGCGAUAAGCCAUGAUAAGCCAGUAAGAGGCAUUUGAAUCAUGGAUUUCCGAAUGGGGAAACCCACUGAGCUUGCUCAGUAUCGUUAACUGAAUUCAUAGGUUAACGAAGCGAACCCGGAGAACUGAAACAUCUAAGUACCCGGAGGAAAAGAAAUCAAUUGAGAUUCCGUUAGUAGCGGCGAGCGAACGCGGAUCAGCCCUUAAGCUCAUUAAGGUUUAGUGGAAGGCUCUGGAAAGUGCCGCGAUACAGGGUGAUAGCCCCGUACACGAAGAACCUUAGUAAGUGAAAACGAGUAGGUCGGGACACGUGUUAUCUUGACUGAAUAUGGGGGGACCAUCCUCCAAGGCUAAAUACUCCCAACUGACCGAUAGUGAACCAGUACCGUGAGGGAAAGGCGAAAAGAACCCCUGUGAGGGGAGUGAAAUAGAACCUGAAACCGUGUACGUACAAGCAGUAGGAGCACCUUCGUGGUGUGACUGCGUACCUUUUGUAUAAUGGGUCAGCGACUUACAUUUUGUAGCGAGGUUAACCGUAUAGGGUAGCCGUAGGGAAACCGAGUCUUAACUGGGCGUCGAGUUGCAAGGUGUAGACCCGAAACCGGGCGAUCUAUCCAUGGGCAGGUUGAAGGUUGAGUAACAUCAACUGGAGGACCGAACUCACUAAUGUUGAAAAAUUAGGAGAUGACCUGUGGCUAGGAGUGAAAGGCUAAUCAAGCCCGGAGAUAGCUGGUUCUCCCCGAAAUCUAUUUAGGUAGAGCCUCGGAUGAAUACCACUGGGGGUAGAGCACUGUUUGGGCUAGGGGGUCAUCCCGACUUACCAACCCCAUGCAAACUCCGAAUACCAGUGAGUACUAUCCGGGAGACACACGGCGGGUGCUAACGUUCGUCGUGGAGAGGGAAACAACCCAGACCGCCAGCUAAGGUCCCCAAGUCAUGGUUAAGUGGGAAACGAUGUGGGAAGGCACAGACAGCUAGGAGGUUGGCUUAGAAGCAGCCAUCCUUUAAAGAAAGCGUAAUAGCUCACUAGUCGAGUCGGCCUGCGCGGAAGAUGUAACGGGGCUAAACCAUGCACCGAAGCUGCGGAUGUAUCCGCAUCACCAAAGACUAUUCGCUUACGUUCACGCAGUGAACGAAAGCGUCCCCUGAAAUAGUCAGGGAGCACACUGGUUAAUUAGACCACUGAGCGAGUAGGUUUUGGGAUGCGGAUACGUGGUAGGGGAGCGUUGUGUAAGCCGUUGAAGGUGAAUCGAGAGGUUUGCUGGAGGUAUCACAAGUGCGAAUGCUGACAUGAGUAACGAUAAGGGGAGUGAAAAACUCCCCCGCCGGAAGACCAAGGGUUCCUAUCCCAUGCUAAUCAGGGUAGGGUAAGUCGGCCCCUAAGGCGAGGCGGAAACGCGUAGUCGAUGGGAAACGGGUUAAUAUUCCCGUACUGCUGCAUACUGCGAUGGGGUGACGGAGAAGGCUAGGCAAGCGCGGCGUUGGUAGUCCGCGUGAAAGUGAGUAGGUUGGGCGUUUAGGUAAAUCCGGAUGCCCGUUAAGACUGAGACACGAGACGAGACUCUAAGGAGUCGAAGUUGUUGAUGCCAUACUUCCAGGAAAACCCUCUAAGCUUCAGGUAUGCAGAACCGUACCCGAAACCGACACAGGUGGUCAGGUAGAGAAUACUAAGGCGCUUGAGAGAACUCGGGUGAAGGAACUAGGCAAAAUAGUACCGUAACUUCGGGAGAAGGUACGCCACUGUUGGUGACGAGCUUCGCGCUCAGAGCUGAUAGUGGUCGCAGUGACCAGGUGGCUGGGACUGUUUAUUAAAAACACAGCACUCUGCUAAAACGAAAGUUGACGUAUAGGGUGUGACACCUGCCCGGUGCCGGAAGGUUAAUUGAUGGGGUUAUCUUCGGAGAAGCUCUUGAUCGAAGCCCCGGUAAACGGCGGCCGUAACUAUAACGGUCCUAAGGUAGCGAAAUUCCUUGUCGGGUAAGUUCCGACCUGCACGAAUGGUGUAACCAUGGCCACGCUGUCUCCACCCGAGACUCAGUGAAAUUGAAAUCGCAGUGAAGAUGCUGUGUACCCGCGGCUAGACGGAAAGACCCCGUGAACCUUUACUACAGCUUGGCACUGAACAUUGAACCUACAUGUGUAGGAUAGGUGGGAGGCUUUGAAGCAUUGGCGCUAGUUGAUGUGGAGCCAUCCUUGAAAUACCACCCUUGUACGUUUGAUGUUCUAACGUUGGUCCCUUAUCGGGAUUGCGGACAGUGCCUGGUGGGUAGUUUGACUGGGGCGGUCUCCUCCCAAAGAGUAACGGAGGAGCACGAAGGUUGGCUAAGUACGGUCGGACAUCGUACGGUUAGUGCAAUGGCAUAAGCCAGCUUAACUGCGAGACAGACACGUCGAGCAGGUGCGAAAGCAGGUCAUAGUGAUCCGGUGGUUCUGAAUGGAAGGGCCAUCGCUCAACGGAUAAAAGGUACUCCGGGGAUAACAGGCUGAUACCGCCCAAGAGUUCAUAUCGACGGCGGUGUUUGGCACCUCGAUGUCGGCUCAUCACAUCCUGGGGCUGAAGUCGGUCCCAAGGGUAUGGCUGUUCGCCAUUUAAAGUGGUACGCGAGCUGGGUUUAGAACGUCGUGAGACAGUUCGGUCCCUAUCUGCCGUGGGCGUUUGAGAAUUGAAAGGGGUUGCUCCUAGUACGAGAGGACCGGAGUGAACGAACCGCUGGUGUUCGGGUUGUCAUGCCAAUGGCACUGCCCGGUAGCUACGUUCGGAAUCGAUAACCGCUGAAAGCAUCUAAGCGGGAAGCGAGCCUUGAGAUGAGUUCUCACUGGAGUGUAAUCUCCCUAAAGGGUUGUUGAAGACUACGACGUUGAUAGGCAGGGUGUGGAAGCGCAGUAAUGUGUUGAGCUAACCUGUACUAAUUGCCCGUGAGGCUUAACCAUACAACACCAAAG
rnacentral:rRNA from 1 species